UAGGGAAUCUUCGGCAAUGGACGAAAGUCUGACUGAGCAACGCCGCGUGAGUGAAGAAGGUUUUCGGAUCGUAAAACUCUGUUGUUAGAGAAGAACAAGGACGUUAGUAACUGAACGUCCCCUGACGGUAUCUAACCAGAAAGCCACGGCUAACUACGUGCCAGCAGCCGCGGUAAUACGUAGGUGGCAAGCGUUGUCCGGAUUUAUUGGGCGUAAAGCGAGCGCAGGCGGUUUCUUAAGUCUGAUGUGAAAGCCCCCGGCUCAACCGGGGAGGGUCAUUGGAAACUGGGAGCAUUGAGUGCAGAAGAGGAGAGUGGAAUUCCAUGUGUAGCGGUGAAAUGCGUAGAUAUAUGGAGGAACACCAGUGGCGAAGGCGGCUCUCUGGUCUGUAACUGACGCUGAGGCUCGAAAGCGUGGGGAGCAAACAGG
rnacentral:rRNA from 1 species